AUUGAACGCUGGCGGCAUGCCUUACACAUGCAAGUCGAACGGCAGCACGGGAGUAAUCCUGGUGGCGAGUGGCGAACGGGUGAGUAAUAUAUCGGAACGUGCCCAGUCGUGGGGGAUAACGUAGCGAAAGCUACGCUAAUACCGCAUACGAUCUAUGGAUGAAAGCGGGGGAUCGCAAGACCUCGCGCGAUUGGAGCGGCCGAUAUCAGAUUAGGUAGUUGGUGAGGUAAAGGCUCACCAAGCCAACGAUCUGUAGCUGGUCUGAGAGGACGACCAGCCACACUGGAACUGAGACACGGUCCAGACUCCUACGGGAGGCAGCAGUGGGGAAUUUUGGACAAUGGACGCAAGUCUGAUCCAGCCAUUCCGCGUGCAGGACGAAGGCCUCGGGUUGUAACUGCUUUGUACAGAACGAAAAGGUCUCUAUUAAUACUAGGGCGUCAUGAC
rnacentral:rRNA from 1 species